rnacentral:rRNA from 1 species
GAAAGCGUGGGGAGCGAACAGGAUUAGAUACCCUGGUAGUCCACGCCGUAAACGGUGGAUGCUGGAUGUGGGGCCCGUUCCACGGGUUCCGUGUCGGAGCUAACGCGUUAAGCAUCCCGCCUGGGGAGUACGGCCGCAAGGCUAAAACUCAAAGAAAUUGACGGGGGCCCGCACAAGCGGCGGAGCAUGCGGAUUAAUUCGAUGCAACGCGAAGAACCUUACCUGGGCUUGACAUGUUCCCGACAGCCCCAGAGAUGGGGCCUCCCUUCGGGGCGGGUUCACAGGUGGUGCAUGGUCGUCGUCAGCUCGUGUCGUGAGAUGUUGGGUUAAGUCCCGCAACGAGCGCAACCCUCGCCCUGUGUUGCCAGCACGUCGUGGUGGGAACUCACGGGGGACCGCCGGGGUCAACUCGGAGGAAGGUGGGGAUGACGUCAGAUCAUCAUGCCCCUUACGUCCAGGGCUUCACGCAUGCUACAAUGGCCGGUACAACGGGAUGCGACGCGGCGACGCGGAGCGGAUCCCUGAAAACCGGUCUCAGUUCGGAUCGCAGUCUGCAACUCGACUGCGUGAAGGCGGAGUCGCUAGUAAUCGCGGAUCAGCAACGCCGCGGUGAAUGCGUUCCCGGGCCUUGUACACACCGCCCGUCAAGUCAUGAAAGUGGGCAGCACCCGAAGCCGGUGGCCUAACCCCUUGUGGGAUGGAGCCGUCUAAGGUGAGGCUCGUGAUUGGGACUAAGUCGUAACAAGGUAGCCGUACCGGAAGGUGCGGCUG